AUUGAACGCUAGCGGCAUGCCUUACACAUGCAAGUCGAACGGUAACAGGGAGCUUGCUCCGCUGACGAGUGGCGAACGGGUGAGUAAUGCAUCGGAACGUACCCAGUAGUGGGGGAUAACGCAGCGAAAGCUGUGCUAAUACCGCAUACGCACUGAGGUGGAAAGCAGGGGACCUUCGGGCCUUGUGCUAUUGGAGCGGCCGAUGUCAGAUUAGCUAGUUGGUGGGGUAAAAGCUCACCAAGGCGACGAUCUGUAGCUGGUCUGAGAGGAUGAGAAGCCACACGGAGACUGAGACACGGCCCAGACUCCUACGGGAGGCAGCAGUGGGGAAUUUUGGACAAUGGGGGCAACCCUGAUCCAGCCAUGCCGCGUGAGGGAAGAAGGCCUUCGGGUUGUAAAGCUCUUUCGGCCGGGAAGAAAUCGCCAUCUCUAACAUAGGUGGUGGAUGACGGUACCGGAAUAAGAAGCACCGGCUAACUACGUGCCAGCCGCCGCAGUAA
rnacentral:rRNA from 1 species